UACGUAGGGUGCAAGCGUUGUUCGGAAUCAUUGGGCGUAAAGCGCGUGUAGGUGGUUUGUUAAGUCGGGUGUGAAAUCCCUGGGCUCAACCGAGGAAGUGCAUCCGAAACUAACAAGCUAGAAGAUGGCAGAGGAAGGUGGAAUUCCUAGUGUAGAGGUGAAAUUCGUAGAUAUUAGGAGGAAUACCGGUGGCGAAGGCGGCCUUCUGGACCAUUCUUGACACUGAGGCACGAAAGCGUGGGGAGCAAACAGG
rnacentral:rRNA from 1 species